rnacentral:rRNA from 1 species
CACCGCCCGUCACACCAUGGGAGUUGAUUGCUCCAGAAGUGGCUGAGCUAACCCGCAAGGGAGGCAGGUCCCCAAGGAGUGAUUGGUAACUGGGGUG